AAAUAGAAAAAGAAAAAGAAAAUGUGUCCUCAACUAACUCGUGAAUGAACACAUAUAAUUAUGGAUUUUUUAAAACACAAAAGAAAAAGAAAACGUGUCCACGACUAUUUUAGAUAUAUUGGCUGCGUCGAUCAGUAUUUGCAUAAUCAUCAAAAAGGAAAAUAAACAGAGCAUCCCCAUUUCCAUUUGGGCUAAUAACAUAGCAAUUACAAGACCAAAAUUACAGAAAACAGACAACACAAUCAGCUCUCAAGACAGCAAAAGAAAGCA
rnacentral:misc_RNA from 1 species